GCCCAGGUGGCUCAGUCGGUUGAGCGUCUGACUUCAACUCAGGUGAUGAUCUCACACUCGUUGGGUUCAAGCCCCACGUCAGGCU
rnacentral:tRNA from 1 species